rnacentral:rRNA from 1 species
CACGUAGGGGACGAGCGUUGUCCGGAUUCAUUGGGCGUAAAGCGCGCGUAGGCGGCUCGGAAAGUCGGUCGUGAAAUGCCGGGGCUCAACCCCGGGACUGCGUCCGAUACUCCCGAGCUGGAGGCAGGUAGGGGAGAUCGGAAUUCCUGGUGUAGCGGUGAAAUGCGCAGAUAUCAGGAGGAACACCGGUGGCGAAGGCGGGUCUCUGGGCCGAUACUGACGCUGAGGAGCGAAAGCGUGGGGAGCAAACAGG